rnacentral:sRNA from 1 species
AACACAGCAGCAAGGUGGAACCAGGGCUUCCACGCAGCGGAGACCAAGACUUAGAAAGGCUCUGGCAGAUCCCCUCACAGCAAGUGGCAAGCCCCCACGCCUACUUUCCAUGGUUCUUGUGAAUGAGAACCACCGCCCUGUAGCCUCUUCCUAGCCUCUCCUGGCUCAGAGAUUUGCAAAUCUCCCUGGAUUUCUAUGUUAGGACGGAGUAUGUACUGACAGCUGGACGUCCCCUGGUGCAUUGGAACAAGUCACUCAGGUCAGUGCAGUCGGACGGAGACGGGAGAGUGGAGCCUUAUCACUGGAUGGAGAUGGAAGAAUCACUUCUCUCUCAGCCCCACCUUCUUCAAGAGGGGACUGUGCUCUGAAGAUGAGACCCACUAUCCAGAAGAGAGUUUCAGGUAUGUGCUUUGGACAGGUCUGGUAUAUGGAAAGGCACUGGAGCUGGAAGAUGCUGAUGGGAAGAAAAGAUAGGGUGCUGUCCCUCUUAAAGGGGCUGCUCACCUUAGAGAAGAUGGAGCAAUAAGCAUCGGGUGAGGGUAGUAUGAUGUCACCUGGGUCAGCACAGGAAGGAUAUUUGCCCUGCUAGGGGUGGGAGGGUCCUGACAACUUACAAGUAGGGCUCAUGGGACCACAUACUGCUGUAGCUGGACCCUUCCAGUGCUGCAUGGAGGCUGGCCAUUAUAGCAUGGAAAAAGACUUUCUUCUAAUCUGAGGAGUCUAGAAGCCUUUGCUUUUUAGCUGGGUGUGGCCCGAAAAAAAAAAUCACCGACUCUGUUUUCUUAAUCUGGAUCUGCUGCUUUUUGGGGGUGUGGUGGAGGCAAGGAAGGCCAUAGCUUCAGAUGAGAAAAAGAAGGAGAUUUAUAAAAGAAUAAUAAUA